ACAUUGCCAGGGAGUUU
rnacentral:miRNA from 1 species